rnacentral:rRNA from 1 species
UGUAUUUAUUAGAUUAAAAACCAAUGCCCUUCGGGGCUCCUUGGUGAUUCAUAAUAACUUAACGAAUCGCAUGGCCUUGUGCCGGCGAUGGUUCAUUCAAAUUUCUGCCCUAUCAACUUUCGAUGGUAGUAUAUGGGACUACCAUGGUUUCAACGGGUAACGGGGAAUUAGGGUUCUAUUCCGGAGAGGGAGCCUGAGAAACGGCUACCACAUCCAAGGAAGGCAGCAGGCGCGCAAAUUACCCAAUCCCGACACGGGGAGGUAGUGACAAUAAAUACUGAUACAGGGCUCUUUUGGGUCUUGUAAUUGGAAUGAGUACAAUUUAAAUCCCUUAACGAGGAACAAUUGGAGGGCAAGUCUGGUGCCAGCAGCCGCGGUAAUACCAGCUCCAAUAGCGUAUAUUAAAGUUGUUGCAGUUAAAAAGCUCGUAGUUGAACCUUGGGCCUGGCUGGCCGGUCCGCCUCACCGCGUGCACUGGUUCGGCCGGGCCUUUCCCUCUGGGGAGCCCUAUGCCCUUCACUGGGUGUAGUGGGGAACCAGG